UGACAGCAAAAAAAGCCAGAUUAUGUCGUGCGUGGAAAAUGUGGAGAAUACUGUGAAAUCGAGUGCCACAUGUAAUGAGCACCUAAAUGAGAUUGUCUUCAUUUCCGGCCUUGCAAAACGCUUACAGACAUUGAUUGGAGUCGUCUGCACUGAAAGCACACUUCCGCAUAUUGUUAAUCAUUAAUCCAUCCCAAGCAUGGAAAUGUCUAUAUUCUUGCAGUACCACUCAAAGAAACAAAAACGAUCGGCACGCAGGGAAAACCUGUUAAAAUAUAAAUAAAUGUACAUAAAUUA